rnacentral:rRNA from 1 species
CCUACGGGUGGCAGCAGUGAGGAAUAUUGGUCAAUGGGCGCGAGCCUGAACCAGCCAAGUAGCGUGAAGGAUGACUGCCCUACGGGUUGUAAACUUCUUUUAUAAAGGAAUAAAGUGAGGCACGUGUGCCGUUUUGUAUGUACUUUAUGAAUAAGGAUCGGCUAACUCCGUGCCAGCAGCCGCGGUAAUACGGAGGAUCCGAGCGUUAUCCGGAUUUAUUUGGGUUAAAGGGAGCGUAGAUGGGUUGUUAAGUCAGUUGUGAAAGUUUGCGGCUCCACCGUAAAAUUGCAAUUGAUACGGGCAGUCUUGCGUACAGUUGAGGUCGGCGGCUUUCGUGGUGUAUCG